UACGUAGGUGGCAAGCGUUGUCCGGAUUUAUUGGGCGUAAAGCGAGCGCAGGCGGUUCCUUAAGUCUGAUGUGAAAGCCCACGGCUCAACCGUGGAAGGUCAUUGGAAACUGGGGAACUUGAGUGCAGAAGAGGAGAGUGGAAUUCCAUGUGUAGCGGUGAAAUGCGUAGAUAUAUGGAGGAACACCAGUGGCGAAGGCGACUCUCUGGUCUGUAACUGACGCUGAGUCACGAAAGCGUGGGUAGCAAACAGGAUUAGA
rnacentral:rRNA from 1 species